GAACCAGUAAAGCUGUAGAAGAAUGUGGCGCCUUCUCAUUUGUAGUUAAAGAUAGAGGCAGCACACACCGUGUCCCGGCUUACAGUUUCUAAUUUCAGAUAUCGCCACUUAGGCUUCGUCCACAUGGGCAGGUUUUUGUUGUACUGUUUGAAAGGAGUUGUGGACAGUUGUUUCUAGAAAGAGGACUUUGUGAUAAGGAGAAGAACAUGGUGCUUUACGAAAGAAUGAUUGAAGACUGCGGGCAGAGUGGUGACAACAUGGCAGAUAGAAGGCAACUGUUUGUCGAGAUGAGGGCGCAAGAUUUGGAUUCCAUACGGCUGUCGACGUACAGAACAGCCUGCAAACUCAGAUUUGUGCAGAAGAAAUGCAAUUUGCAUUUGGUUGAUAUUUGGAAUAUCAUCGAGGCUUUCCGAGAGAACGGCCUCAACACCAUGGACCUCAACGCUGAGCUCUCAGUGGCUCGUCUGGAAGUGGUGCUGUCCACUGUCUUUUACCAGCUGAACAAGCGCAUGCCCACCACCCACCAGAUCAACGUGGAGCAGUCCAUCAGCCUGCUGCUCAACUUCCUGCUGGCUGCCUACGACCCGGAGGGACAUGGCAAGAUAUCUGUCUUUGUUGUGAAGUUGGCCCUGGCAACCAUCUGUGGAGGGAAAAUUCUGGAUAAAUUAAGAUAUAUUUUUUCACAUAUAUCAGAUUCCGCUGGAAUAAUGGUGUACUCACAGUUUGACCAGUUUCUGAGGGAGGUUCUCAAAUUGCCCAUGGCGGUUUUCGAGGGGCCUUCUUUCGGUUACACUGAACAAGCUGUAAGAACAUGCUUUACACAGCAGAAAAAGGUCUCCCUCAACACAUUCCUCGAUACGUUGAUGUCAGACCCGCCCCCUCAGUGUCUGGUGUGGUUACCGCUCAUGCAUCGGCUCGCCAACGUGGAGAACGUCUUUCACCCGGUCGAGUGCUCCUACUGCCAUACUGAGAGUAUGAUGGGCUUCCGCUACCGCUGCCAGCAAUGUCAUAAUUACCAGCUCUGUCAGGACUGCUUCUGGAGGGGGCAUGCCAGCGGUUCCCAUAGCAACCAGCACCAAAUGAAGGAGUAUACGUCAUGGAAAUCCCCCGCUAAGAAGUUAUCCCAUGCCCUCAGUAAGUCACUGAGCUGUGCAUCCAGCAGAGAGCCUCCUUACCCCAUGUUUUCCGAAUUGCCAGAGAAACCUCUCAACCUAGCUCAUAUUGUGCCACCAAGACCAGUGAAUAUCACCAAUGACUACUCACUCUCCCACUCCAUGCCUACAUCAGGGAACCCUUACUCCACCAAAAACAAGAAUAAUGAUGUUGAGCACAGAAAGCCCCUGACUGGGGCUGCUCCACAUCUGUUGAAAGGGAGAGGGUUGAACUACAACCUCGAUGUUGCUGAUAGACUUGCCGACGAACAUGUUCUCAUUGGCCUCUAUGUGAAUAUGCUCCAAAACAACCCCAAAACAUGUUUGCUGGAGAGCAGUAACCAUCAAGAUGAAGAGCACAGCCUCAUCGCCCGCUAUGCUGCUAGACUGGCUGCUGAUGCUGCGGCUCAGCAGGAGAGGGUCCCCACAGACCUCCCCUGCUCUCUGGAUGCCAACAAACAGCAGAGACAGCUCAUUGCUGAGCUCGAGAGCAAAAACAGAGAAAUCCUGCAGGAAAUCCAGCGGCUGCGCCUUCAGCAUGAAGAAGCAUCCCAGCCGCCUCCUGACAGAGGUCAGCAGAACCCCACCCUGCUCGCUGAGCUCCGACUUCUCAGGCAACGCAAAGAUGAGCUUGAACAAAGAAUGUCUGCUCUGCAGGAGAGUCGCAGGGAACUCAUGGUGCAGCUGGAGCAACUAAUGAUGCUUCUCAAGCUGGAGGAGGAACGGAAACAAGCUACUCAGGGUCCCGGCUCUCCACGCUCUUCUCCCAGCCACACCAUCAGCCGGCCGAUCCCCACACCGAUCCACUCGGACUCAGCCGGCACCACCCCGACUCACACACCUCAGGACUCACUCAUGGGCGUGGGAGGGGAUGUUCAGGAGGCCUUCGCUCAGGGUCCCAGGAGAAAUUUGAGGAACGACUUACUUAUUGCUGCUGACUCCAUCACCAACACCAUGUCAUCACUGGUUAAGGAGCUCAAUUCAGAGGGUGGAAGUGAGACUGAGAGCACUGUGGACUCAGAAUUUGGACGUUGUGACCUUUUGGCCUCAACCUCUUCAGAUCCUUUCUUUACUUAUAAACCAAGGCCUGCUAGCACUGCAGAUGAGGAGAGCUUUGAGAACGAUCUGGAGCAGCAACUGGAGGAUGAGCUCAAGCUGGAGGAGCUGAUGAAGCACAGGCAGGAAACGGACAAAACUUGCAUGGUGACGCUGCAGCAGUGACUGUCAGUCCAGGUGACCGUUAUUGCAACAUUUCAACAAUUACUGGAUGGAUUGCAGUGAAAUUUGGUGAGCAAUAUGAAAAGCAACAAUAGUAGAAGACACUGGACGAGACAAAACUGGGCCGACAGUACUGAGCACUGAAGACAUGGAGAACUUAAGUUCCGCUUAAUCCAACCAUAGAAUACAUUUAUGAAGAUCUAUUUUUUAACCAAGCACAUAUUUAAGGUAAUACUGUGAGCUGAUGUAAAGAGAUUAAUUACUGAGCUGUCUAUUAAACCACCGGUGCCAUAAAAAUACAUGAUUUUGGGGAAUUAUUUCUUAAUUUUUAUUCUUUUUAUAUGAGUUGUCUAUCAGAUGUACAACUAUUCUGUUAGUACAAACCUGAUUCUUUCAAUUUCUCAUGUUUUUAAAUACAAUGAACCCAUUUUCAAUGUUUGCUGUCAUUUAAUUUCAUGAUUUGUGAUGAUACACCUGAGAUUAUGUUUGGAACUGAAGUUAUAAAUGUCAAAAUUUGAAAUCUUUUGUAAAUGUAUGACUCUGGCCGGGUUACUAUGAACAGAUUUUACCACUUUUCCAAUGAUUUGUUCUGUUGCUGUUGAGUUGCUUUUGUACUGUUUUUUUCUUUUCUUUGGAGGAGGACGAUCGGAUGCAUUUGUUUUAUUUCAUACAUUAGUAAUAAUAACGCACACUGCCUUAGCUGAUUGGAUGACCUCUCAUUGGAGUUCAUUCAACCUGUGAAUGCAGCAUGUAGCUUACAAGAAAACACACCUGCAGCAAUGCUGGAUGUCUUCUCUGGAUGGAUUUAAACUGAUGCUAGGAGCAGGUUUGGUCUGCAAAUAUGUACACUGUCUAGAUAUAAAUGGUCAAUUAAAUAUAAGAUAUGAGGUUCUAAUGUUUGAAGGUGUUUUAAAUACAGUAAAAAAGAAGUGACAGAGACAUCCAUAGUGCUUAAAUUCAAAGGUUUACACUGGCAAGGGCAUUGAACAAAUUGUGUUUACUAUCAAUGGUUUGUGAAUUAAGGUUUGAUCAUAGAUCAUUUGCCGUCGUUUCAUUUGUUAGCGCCAAUGCUCUCACACAAAUCUCUGUGUGACUUGCACACCAAUACACACACACACUCCUGAUGUAUUUUCCGAGUGCACAAAAUUUUACCCAGUCACUUUGGGAAAAAGUGGCAAGCCAAUCUAAAAUCAUAAAUGUGUGAAAUAUAUCUAGUUUGAUUUUUGAGCAAGUUCAUAGCAGUGAUUUUGCAUGGUGGUGAUGCAUAAUAAAGUGUUGACACAAUAUCACAA